AUUGAACGCUGGCGGCAGGCCUAACACAUGCAAGUCGAACGGUAACAGGAAGACGCUUGCUUCUUUGCUGACGAGUGGCGGACGGGUGAGUAAUGUCUGGGAAACUGCCUGAUGGAGGGGGAUAACUACUGGAAACGGUAGCUAAUACCGCAUAACGUCGCAAGACCAAAAAGGGGGACCUUCGGGCCUCUUGCCAUCGGAUGUGCCCAGAUGGGAUUAGCUAGUAGGUGGGGUAACGGCUCACCUAGGCGACGAUCCCUAGCUGGUCUGAGAGGAUGACCAGCCACACUGGAACUGAGACACGGUCCAGACUCCUACGGGAGGCAGCAGUGGGGAAUAUUGCACAAUGGGCGCAAGCCUGAUGCAGCCAUGCCGCGUGUAUGAAGAAGGCCUUCGGGUUGUAAAGUACUUUCAGCGGGGAGGAAGGGAGUAAAGUUAAUACCUUUGCUCACUGACGUUACCCGCAGAAGAAGCACCGGCUAACUCCGUG
rnacentral:rRNA from 1 species